AGCAACAUUGCCUGGCUGGAGGGCUGCUGUGAAUGAUUCUGGAGUCUCUUGUGUCAUCUCGGAAGACUCUGACUUUUCCCCAAUGAGUUUCUCAGCCUGAAUAAACCUGUACUUCUUCCUACAUUGAUUCUCUUUUUGAGGGCUCCAUGAUCUGAAGCUUUCCUUUUGAGUUGGCCCAAAGACCACUGUGCAAAGGCCAAGAAAGAUGCAAGAUUUGAGAGAGAAAUGUUCCUCAAACUCAUUAUAGACUGAAGUAAUUUCAUUUUCUCAUGAGCUCAUCUAUACAUUUGAAAAAGCUACAAUAGUCAUAUUUCUAUUGGGAGGAAUCAAGAUUUUCCUGCAGCUGGCAAUAGCCUUCCCUGAAAUAUUUCACAGAAGUUUGCUCCCAACUUUCAGAACAUCAUCUUAAAUGGGAAUCUACUGACCAGAUAGUCACCAGCAGUUGGCACCAGCCACUAAAGCUGAAAACUUGAGGAUGGUUUUCUCCACAACUUUUAAAAAAGGUAGUUUUCAGAAGGCUAAUCCCUGGUGUUUCAUUUUAAUGAUAAACCUGAAUAUUAGAGAUGAUCAUGCUAUAUAAAAGACAUCUGUGCAAUAAUAAAAACAGAUGGGUAUUUUCUUAAAACCAAUUGAUCAAGGAUCUUAGGAAACAUUUGCUAUGCAAAGUGUCUUAAUGUUACAAAUUGCACUCUGCUUUAGCAGAUUACAGGAUUUGUGUGAAAUACCCACAUGCAUAUUUUUCUCAACUUAUUCUCUGCUCUGAAUAGCACAUGUAAGUUGUUUUCUUGCCCCAGCACCAUACAUAAUAAUCUAUAAAAAAAAAAAACAAAAAAAAAAACAUGCAAGCAUCUUCAGGUGAAACAUGGCUACUGCCAUCUUUGCCCACCUCAAGGAACACCUCUAACUUUUGACAUGUAGCAGAACCCUGGUUGGGAAUCACUGAAAUAUGCAUCUACUCCUGGUAGCAGAUUCUAUGGGGCAGGACCUCAGCACAUCCAG